AUGACCAUCAUUGCUGUUAGUAAAUAAGGGGUUCAAAACGAUUGUUGCGCAGGGAAUCCCGUGCAAAACGGGAGCGGGCCCGCCGCUGUGAUCGGGGACCGUGUCCGCCAAUGCCACUGGCCAUGAGCCGGGAAGGCGCGGCCCACGGGUUGAUCCGUAAGCCAGAAUACCUGCUGUCUGUCAAAUCGUGCG
rnacentral:ncRNA from 1 species